rnacentral:rRNA from 1 species
AUUGAACGCUGGCGGCAGGCCUAACACAUGCAAGUAGAGCGGAGCGGCGGACGGGUGAGUAAUGCCUAGGAAUCUGCCUGGUAGUGGGGGAUAACGUCCGGAAACGGGCCCUAAUACCGCAUACUAUCAGAUGAGCCUAGGUCGGAUUAGCUAGUUGGGGGGGUAAAGGCCUACCAAGGCGACGAUCCGUAACUGGUCUGAGAGGAUGAUCAGUCACACGGGAACGGAGACACGGUCCAGACUCCUACGGGAGGCAGCAGUGGGGAAUAUUUGACAAUGGGCGAAAGCCUUAUCCAGCCAUGCCGCGUGUGUGAAGAAGGUCUUCGGAUUGUAAAGCACUUUAAGUUGGGAGGCGUGACCAACAGAAUAAGCACCGGCUAACCUCGUGCCAGCAGCCGCGGUAAUUC